GCGCACCAGUCGCGAAACUUCACACUGUGCGAAAGCGCGAUGAGGGAAUCCCAAGUGCUUGCACGUAAGUGUAAGCUGUUUCUCUGUUUAAAACGCAGAGAGAGUAAGGGCUGGGUAAGACGGGUGCCAGCCGCCGCGGUAAUACCUGCAGCCCAAGUGGUGACCGUUAUUAUUGGGCCUAAAACGUCCGUAGCCGGUUUAAUAAAUGCCUGGGUAAAUCGUGUAGCUUAACUAUACGAAUUCCGGGUAGACUGUUAAACUCGAGACCGGGAGAAGUUAGAGGUACUCCUGGGGUAGAGGUGAAAUUCUGUAAUCCUAGGGGGACCACCAGUGGCGAAGGCGUCUAACUAGAACGGGUCUGACGGUGAGGGACGAAGCCCUGGGGCGCAAACGGGAUUAGAUACCCCUGUA
rnacentral:rRNA from 1 species